rnacentral:tRNA from 1 species
GGUAUGGUCUAGUGGUAGGACGCUUGGUUCUGGCCCAAGUAGCGAGGGUUCGAAUCCUUCUACC